ensembl:snRNA U2 U2 spliceosomal RNA
AUUGCUUCUCAGCCCUUUGGCUAAGAUCAAGUGUAGUAUCUGCUCUUAUCAGUUUAACAUGCAAUAAAUGUAUACGUUUAUGUACAAUAUAUACAAAGUGGUUGUAAAUUGUU